UACGUAGGGGGCAAGCGUUGUCCGGAAUCAUUGGGCGUAAAGAGCGUGUAGGCGGUCCGGUCAGUCGGUUGUGAAAGUCAAGGGCUCAACCCUUGAAUGCCGGCCGAUACUGCCGGGCUAGAGUCCGGAAGAGGUGAGUGGAAUUCCUGGUGUAGCGGUGAAAUGCGCAGAUAUCAGGAGGAACACCGGUGGCGAAGGCGGGUCUCUGGGCCGAAAUUGACGCUGAGGAGCGAAAGCGUGGGGAGCAAACAGG
rnacentral:rRNA from 1 species